CCAGGAUUUUGCUGAUACCAAAAGAAAUCAUCACCAAGAGCUAUCUUGUUGGUGUAACUACAGGUCAGAGUAACAGAGCUGCCCUCUGAACUGAACUCCUCAGUCUUCGCUGCAGUGAGUUGUUGACAGUUUACACCUGAAGGAAGAAAAACUGAUAUAAGUGAAGAACAAGAAGGAUCAGAUUAUUCUCUGAAAGACUCCAAC